UCAAAAACAUGGCUUUUUGAUUAUUAUUUAAAGUCAGGCCUGCCCACUGAAAGUUAAAGGGCCGCGGUAAUUUGACCGUGCUAAGGUAGCAUAAUCAUUAGUUUCUUAAUUAGAAGCUAGAAUGAAUGGUUUGAUAAGAAAAUUUCUGUCUCUAUUUAAUAUUCAUAGAAUUUUAUUUUUAAGUUAAAAAGCUUAAAUUUUUUUAAAAGACGAGAAGACCCUAUAGAGUUUAAUAUGUUGUAAUUAUAAUAUUUAAUUGGAAUUUUAAUUUUCUAUUUUUAAAUAUAUUUAGUUGGGGUGAUUGAAAAAUUAAAUUAACUUUUUUUAUUUAAAAUCAUUAAUUAAUGAUUAUUUGAUCCAUUAAUAGUGAUUAUAAGGGAAAAUUACCUUAGGGAUAACAGCGUAAUUUUUUUUAAGAGUUCUAAUCGAAAAUAAAGAUUGCGACCUCGAUGUUGGAUUAAAAUUAAUUUUUGGUGUAGAAGCUAAAAAUAUUAGGUCUGUUCGACCUUUAAAAUUUUACAUGAUCUGA
rnacentral:rRNA from 1 species